UAAGACAGAGGGUGCAAACGUUGCUCGGAAUCACUGGGCGUAAAGGGCGUGUAGGCGGGAAUGUAAGUCGGGCGUGAAAUCCCUAGGCUCAACCUAGGAACUGCACUCGAAACUGCGUUUCUUGAGUAUCGGAGAGGAAAGCGGAAUACCUGGUGUAGAGGUGAAAUUCGUAGAUAUCAGGUGGAACACCAGUGGCGAAGGCGGCUUUCUGGACGAUAACUGACGCUGAGACGCGAAAGCGUGGGGAGCAAACAGGAUUAGAUACCCUGGUAGUCCACGCCGUAAACGAUGAGUGCUAGGUGCUGUGGGUAUUGACCCCCGCGGUGCCGAAGCUAACGCAUUAAGCACUCCGCCUGGGAAGUACGGUCGCAAGACUA
rnacentral:rRNA from 1 species